rnacentral:misc_RNA from 1 species
CUGCAGCCCGACUUGAGCGGAGCUCUUUUUCCGAAAAGCAGUGUAGGAAAAAAGCGGGAGCGGAAGGCGGAUAAGCU